GAGUGCUCUCUCUCUCUCUCUAGAAUUUCUAAUUGGUCUAUCUCUCUCCAAGAAAGGGCGAAGUUGGUUGGAAACUCCACAAGUUUCCAGAUUUCGGAGAAUGCCAUUGUCGUUGCAGUCUCCGGUCACCAUCGACCAUCGAGUCGGUGACCGUUCGAGCCUAAAUUUUGCCCAAAAAAUUGAUUUGGCCUCCUCUUUCACAUGGUAUGAUUAAUUUCUUCAAAAACUCACUGGAUUGGCAUGGAUUCGAGAUCAACAUCACGGUUUUUUCUCCUGUUUUCCACUGCCCCAACGACCGUUAUUUUGAGGUAUGUUCUUAAACUCGAUCUUGGCUAUCUUUUCACUGAAUUUGGAGGCUUAAAAUCGCCUGAAGAAAGCUCGAGACCCCUGGAAAAGAAACUAAAUUGAAACCCAGAGAAAAAAUGUUUCUUUAUUUUUGGUUCUCUUUUGGCUUCUAACUUUGAUUUUUUUUUUUUUUUUGGCUUUGUGUUUAUAGGGUUUGUUGACAGUGGAUGAUUGGUGGAGAGUUGAUGAUGGUGGUAGACUGGGGUUUGGGCAUAACUUGAUUGGUCUCAAUCGGGACAGUAGAAGGGACCUUGAAUUUUGCUUUGUUUUUGGAUUUGAUUAUGGAUCCUUGAUUGAGGCCGAGUUUUUGAUUGGGUUUGUUUCUUGAGGAUUGGAUUUAUGUUUUGUGUGCAGGGUUCAUGGCUUCA
rnacentral:lncRNA from 1 species